rnacentral:lncRNA from 1 species
CCACCAAGGUAGUAGCCUGGUGGUAAGGGGGCGAUAAUUCCGCCCAAGUUGCCCGGGUUCGAAACGCACGGGCGUCGAUUAAAUUAGGGGACCGGAUGCCCCACGCCCGGCUGGCUUGUUGGCGGUUAUGCUUUCCUUCCACUUGUACCAAGGUGGCACUGGGGUGACGUACCCACACGUGAGGCAGUGAACCCAGUGGGGUGAGCCCAUGGGUCGGGGAAGGCACGCGAAACCUGCGACCUGUAUCGAACAUUCCCUAGUGGAAGGGGGGCUCAGUAAUGGGGUUGCUACGCGGGUGGGCUGGUCCCUCCCCCUCCCCUCCUAUGUUUGACCAAAAAAAAAUAAAGAAGAUCACCCAAUCUGCAGCUCCAUUUAUCUCAUGAAAUACAUUGCUUGAAUGGCCAUAUCAUUACGAACCAAAGACCCGAAUGUCCCUCGGUUGGCGGUAGCCACCGACCCUCUCUGGAACUUAUAAAAUAUAUCCAAUAACCGUAGCGGAGACGCCCCAAAAAAGAGGACCUCCUCUUCUACAGAACACGCCUCGCAUAACUCGCUCGGUGCUCCUUUAUUUUACGAGUGUUAUUAUUGCAAAAAAGGGAAGAAAAAAGCGGUUUGAAUUCCUUCCAGGCCUUUUGAAUCCCACCCUCGGUUCCCUCUCGGCUCCCUUCCUUCCAAAAACUCUCUCUCCCCUCGCCCUCCGGAACUCUGUGGAGAACGAUGCCCAACCUCCGACGAGGAAGCUAGGACCCGAAUCGCUCUCCAGAGAUGCAACGGGCCCUGCCCUCUCAUAGCCAUAUCUGAGCAUUCUUCCUCUCAGAUCGCCCUCUUUUCCACGGAUUAUUUCCCUUUCCUCUCGUUCUAUCUCGAUUGCAGUGGAAUGAACCUUUUCAUUAUGUGGCUCGCGAUCUUUGUUCUUCUUUCUUAGGUUUUAUGCGGGAUUCUUGGAUGGAAUGUUGUAAUUAGAGUUAGAAUAUGGUCAUAUGGUGAUUAUCGGGCUUUCUUGAAAUCUGACAUCAUAAAGGCAACGUUUUGCUGCUUUCUCUUGAUGAUUUUCUUGGGCUUUUUAUUAGGAUUCUGGCAGUAAUGAUUCGUGUAGUGGUAGAAUAUGAUCAUCUGUUGAUGCCAUAAAAGGCAAUUCUUUUCCAAGGAUUUAUUUUUUAAUCUCUUGUUCGAAAAUGUAGUUCACGUUCUGUUUUCUUGCUUCUUGAAGUUUUGUUGGAACUUUGGCUGGAAUCAUCUGCUCAGGGCCCCAAUAUGAUCAUGUGAUGCUUACUUGAUUUUCUUGAACCCUAAUAAUGAUGCUUAUUCGGUUUCUUGAACCCUAAUAAUGAUGGUUAUUUGGCUUUCUGGAAUUCUGAUAAUGAUGGUUAUUUGGCUUUCCUGAAUUCGAGUAAUGAUGCUUAUUUGAUCUUCUUGAAUUCUGAUAUUGAUGCUAAGAUGCUUAUUUGGUUUUUUUGGAUUCUGAUAAUUAUGUUUAUUCUUGUUUUCUUGGAUUCUGAUGAUGUUAAAUGGAUUCUUGAAUUCUGAUAAUGAAACAGCCAUCAGCAAAAAGAUAAUGAAACAGGCAGCUGCUCUGCUGCUCCAAAAUAAGAUCAGUUUGGAUAGAGCUGAAUCAGAUGUCUCAGUGGAACAACUGCUUUCUCUUGUUGCUGGAGCAUUGAUUGAUAAGAACAGCAACCAUCAGGUCCAUUUAAGAAUGCAAUGAUAAUUCGAUACUUUGAAUUUGCUGUGAAUGGCAAUGUAGCUAUGCUGAAAUCAUAUUUUCAUAAGGAGACAAUCAUUUAGACUAUUUUAAGAGUGGUUAAAUUGUAUGACUGAUAUCUAUUUUCCUUAUAAGAUGGACAAAUAAAUAGAUGACCGAAAAAUUUUAAGGUUACAUUGGACAAGGGGUAAUCAUACAAUACCAUAUACUAGUUAUUGAAGUUACAUGAGGAGCAAAAUGCAAACAUGAAAGUGUAGAAUGCUUGAGAAUAAUAAGGUGGUG